CAGGCAUUUCAGCUUGCAGCUGCUGUACGGCGCUCCUGGAGUGUAAAAGAAUAUUGUUUUACUCUGAAAGAUUGGUAUCUGACAUAAAGGUGGAAAACCCUCCCCAUGGAAAGAAGUGCGUCCAAAAUUUAAGGAGAAAGAAAGAUGGGUUUGGAAUGACAUGAGGUGGCCUCUAUAGAGAAAACACAGGGUUAUGAAGAAACCGUAGGAGGAACAAUGGCUCGAAAAAGGACACCCGUCCUCCUCUGCUCGACUUGGAACUCAAUUUGUCCUCCCGCACAGUUUUGGCAAGAAAAAGCCAUCUGAAGGCAUAAAUAUACAUUGAGCAUCAGUCUGUGGUUUAUGGCAGAGAACCUACGCAACAAACAACAAACGUCUACGUAUUACAGCAAAAGCCUACGCUAAAAGGAAAUCGCACACUUAUACGUAGAUAUGUUUAUUUGUGUUGCCAUUGUGGGCCGCUCUCACGCUGAACUACAGGCCUGAGAGGAAGUUUCCAGUGCGGUUACCAUGACGAGGGUCUUGGAGUACAGGAAGUUCAGUGCUAAGAGAAAUGACAUCCGAGAGGGACGCAGACAAACAUUUGUCCAGAUGAACUGGGGUAACAGGAUUGUGUUUGGACAGGAGCUUCUCUCCGCAGGGAACAAGGAUCAGACCUGAGGUGAUUCCCUGUGUUUUUGGAGGGCUUUGGUUUAAAGAUGAGCUUUUGAAACACUCUGGAAUCCUUGUCAGGACGUUUUCUUGCUUCCUACUGAACAGCCUCAGGACACAAGCUUAACAUGCACUGACGUGUGUGUUCAACCCUCCUACAGAUGUUGCAACUUUUGUUCUUAGUGUUCAUAAUAUUAAGUGUGUGAAAUUUAAUGGUUGACGAU
ensembl:lncRNA